ACACAUGCAAGUCGAGCAGUAGAGAGAAGCUUGCUUCUCUUGAGAGCGGCGGACGGGUGAGUAAUGCCUAGGAAUCUGCCUGGUAGUGGGGGAUAACGUUCGGAAACGGACGCUAAUACCGCAUACGUCCUACAGGAGAAAGCAGGGGACCUUCGGGCCUUGCGCUAUCAGAUGAGCCUAGGUCGGAUUAGCUAGUUGGUGAGGUAAUGGCUCACCAAGGCGACGAUCCGUAACUGGUCUGAGAGGAUGAUCAGUCACACUGGAACUGAGACACGGUCCAGACUCCUACGGGAGGCAGCAGUGGGGAAUAUUGGACAAUGGGCGAAAGCCUGAUCCAGCCAUGCCGCGUGUGUGAAGAAGGUCUUCGGAUUGUAAAGCACUUUAAGUUGGGAGGAAGGGCAGUUACCUAAUACGUGAUUGUUUUGACGUUACCGACAGAAUAAGCACCGGCUAACUCUGUGCCAGCAGCCGCGGUAAUACAGAGGGUGCAAGCGUUAAUCGGAAUUACUGGGCGUAAAGCGCGCGUAGGUGGUUAGUUAAGUUGGAUGUGAAAUCCCCGGGCUCAACCUGGGAACUGCAUUCAAAACUGACUGACUAGAGUAUGGUAGAGGGUGGUGGAAUUUCCUGUGUAGCGGUGAAAUGCGUAGAUAUAGGAAGGAACACCAGUGGCGAAGGCGACCACCUGGACUGAUACUGACACUGAGGUGCGAAAGCGUGGGGAGCAAACAGGAUUAGAUACCCUGGUAGUCCACGCCGUAAACGAUGUCAACUAGCCGUUGGGGAGCCUUGAGCUCUUAGUGGCGCAGCUAACGCAUUAAGUUGACCCGCCUGGGGGAGUACGGCCGCAAGGUU
rnacentral:rRNA from 1 species